GACGUAGGGCGCGAGCGUUGUCCGGAUUUAUUGGGCGUAAAGAGCUCGUAGGCGGCUUGUCGCGUCGACUGUGAAAACCCGCGGCUCAACCGCGGGCCUGCAGCCGAUACGGGCAGGCUAGAGUUCGGUAGGGGAGACUGGAAUUCCUGGUGUAGCGGUGAAAUGCGCAGAUAUCGGAAGGAACAUCAGUGGCGAAAGCGGCUUCCUGGACCAGCACCGACGUUCAGGCACGAAAGCGUGGGGAGCAAACAGG
rnacentral:rRNA from 1 species